AUUGAACGCUGGCGGCAGGCCUAACACAUGCAAGUCGAACGAGUGGCGGACGGGUGAGUAAUGUCUGGGAAACUGCCCGAUGGAGGGGGAUAACUACUGGAAACGGUAGCUAAUACCGCAUACCAUCGGAUGUGCCCAGAUGGGAUUAGCUAGGAGGUGGGGUAACGGAUCACCAAGGCGAGGAUCCCUAGCUGGUCUGAGAGGAUGACCAGCCACACUGGAACUGGGACACGGUCCAUACUCCGACGGUAGGCAGCAGUGGGGAAUAGGACACAAAGGGCGCAAGCCUUAUGCAGCCAUGCCGCGGGUAUGAAGAAGGCCUUCGGGUUGUAAAGUACUUUCAGCGAGGAGGCUUUACUCGCAGAAGAAGCACCGGCUAACUCCGUGCCAGCAGCCGCGGUAAUAC
rnacentral:rRNA from 1 species